rnacentral:tRNA from 1 species
AAAAACUUAGUUAAACCCCAUAACAUUAACUUGUCAAGUUAGAAUUACCUCGAAGCGGUAGUUUUUA